CAUAUCUUGUUUCCUGUUCUACUAUAGCCUUCUAGUUUAUUCCCCAACUCCAAUAUCUGUCAAGCCCUUACUCCAGGGAAUCACCAAAGAAUCUAUGCUGAAGGAACAGCCUCUAUAUAGGAUAUGCUAUCUUCCUGGCAGAGGACAGAAGCAAGCUCAACAAAACCAUGGGCCUGUGAUCAGAGGACCUUGGAGGUCCUGACAGUGACCUGGGGCCAGGGUGUGGAGCUGGAGGGCUUGGUCAUGCCCUGAAACCCUUUGUCAACGAAACAUUGAAGGGGGAACAGCCUCGUUUAUCCCCUCCUAUAAAACACCAUACCCCUCUUUGCUCUGGGAGGUUUUGAUCUGUUCCCUCUGCUCUAGCCUGAAUUCCUGCAGCUCAAA